AGGCAACCUCUUGUGACAGCAAUGUUGGUGUUAACCUGCUCAUAAAUUAAUGCAUCUUUUGCUCUUCAGAAUCACUGAGAUGGUCUUUUAUUCAUUUCCAUUAUUGAAGCUGAUCCAGUAUGCUGAAAAACAUU